CAAGUAAUUGAUAGUCAUUAUUUGUAUUCAAAGUGCCUUCUUCAGCUCUAGGUCCUGCAAGAAUGUCAGUGUUGUAUGCGGAGUAAUGCUUCUUGUCUGCUUUGGGCUCCCCCUUUGACUGCUGGGGUCUGUGCUCUUUGCAGCCUGACCCCCUUGCAUUUGGCUGUACUGAAGUGGAUGAUGAUAGCAGGUGCCUUGUUCCUGAAGAGAUCCAAAGAGCUUGCCCUGUUAGCAGCCAGGUGUUGUUAUCUAUCUGGUAUAUUCACCCAGGUAGGCUAGUGGAGCGCAUGAACGGCUGGCUUCUGUUGGUUAUUGUUUGUAUUGGCUUAUUGACCUGGUGUGCCUUUAAUGUGACUAAAGGAAAGUUGCUGAGCUGCUAUCAGUGUAAUGAUGCUGAGUGGGAUGUGCUUGCUUGGGUAGGCAAUGGCUGUACCUGUGGUAGGAGGCUGUGUUCAUCUGAAGCCAAACAAUUUAAUGAAGUGGAUGAGAUAGUAAAUAGAAAUGUCUUUUAGAGAAGAGUCUUUAAAUUCUCAACUACAGUAGCUGAGCAGUAAUGUCAUAGGCAUCUACCACUUGGUCUUGAGUUUCUUUUUGGUUCCACUCUGCUGGCUGUGUUGUCAGUGGGGCGGAGUGUGCUGGAGAGAAGCAAUGUCUGCUGAAGCAGCUUUUGGAAGGCUGAUUCCCUUCUGACCCUGUGACAGAACCUGUGCUGGCAGACUUGCAAGCUGAGGAAAAUGGUGCUGCAGUUCUGUGAAAUUCACUUUCUCUUACCGUCUUUCUGUCAGGAAAAUAGCAGUAGCUGGCCUGCUUGGGCUUGCACUGAGCUUCUGGCCCCUCCUCUUUCAUCAGAGGAAAACGUUUUGGAAUUUGGGAAAGGAAUAUUUGCUUUCUGCCUUUGAUGCUGUUUGGUCCUCUGCCAUCCGGAGCUGUUAUUCCUCCUCCCGUUCCCUUCAUCUCAGAGGUCACUGACGUCCUGCCCUUUGUUCGCAGCCCCUCUUGGGCACAUCUGGCCGCACUGUUGAGUAAUUGCUCUCUCUCGUAGAGGAGGAGGUGCUGUCUAAACAUACGCCCUACUUACAGCAACGUGAUCAGAAGUUUUUCAGCUGCUUCCAUGUGGUGUGUGGAUGUGUCUGGACAGGCAGGGAGCUCCAGAGAGCAGCACGGGGAUGAUGGACUGAGGCCCUGCCGAACACUCUUCUUCC
rnacentral:lncRNA from 1 species